rnacentral:rRNA from 1 species
AUGGGAACGCGAAGAACCUUACCUAGACUUGACAUCUCCUGAAUAGUGUAGAGAUACAUGAAGCCCUUCGGGGCGAGGAAGACAGGUGGUGCAUGGUUGUCGUCAGCUCGUGUCGUGAGAUGUUGGGUUAAGUCCCGCAACGAGCGCAACCCUUAUUACUAGUUGCUACCAUUAAGUUGAGCACUCUAGUGAGACUGCCCGGGGUUAACCGGGAGGAAGGCGGGGAUGGACGUCAAAUCAUCAUGCCCCUUAUGUCUAGGGCAACACACGUGCUACAAUGGUGAGUACAGAUAGAUGCGAUACCGCAAGGUGGAGCCAAACUCUAAAACUCAUCCCAGUUCGGAUUGUAGCUGCAACUCGCCUACAUGAAGUUGGAGUUGCUAGUAAUCGCGAAUCAGAAUGUCGCGGUGAAUACGUUCCCGGGUCUUGUACACACCG